rnacentral:rRNA from 1 species
UACGAAGGGUGCAAGCGUUACUCGGAAUUAUUGGGCGUAAAGAGCUUGUAGGCGGUUUGUCGCGUCUGCUGUGAAAAUCCGGGGCUCAACCCCGGACUUGCAGUGGGUACGGGCAGACUAGAGUGUGGUAGGGGAGACUGGAAUUCCUGGUGUAGCGGUGGAAUGCGCAGAUAUCAGGAGGAACACCGAUGGCGAAGGCAGGUCUCUGGGCCAUUACUGACGCUGAGAAGCGAAAGCAUGGGGAGCGAACAGG